rnacentral:rRNA from 1 species
UGUCGUAAGGGAAAAUAAUGAUAAUACCUUACUAUUAGUGUCGUCCAAAUCUGGUGCCAGAAGACUCGGUAAGACCAGAGACGCAAACGUUAAUCAUCAUAAUCAGGCGUAAAGGGUUUGUAGGCAGCAUUUACCAGACUAUGAAUAAUAAAAUAAAGUAGUUUAAUUUUAUGCUAGAAUCAAAAAGAGGUUAUAUUGUAUAACGCCUAGAGGAGGGCUGAUAUCCAUAGAUCCUAGGCAGAAUACUCAAGGCGAAGGCCACUCUCCACUACUGAUUGACGCUGAGAAACGAAGGUUAGGGUAGGAAAUAGGAUUAGAUACCCCGGUACUCCUUUCUGUAAACGAUGAAUGGUAGUCAUUAGUUAUAAAACUAGAGACGAAGUUAACACAAUAACCAUUCCGCCUUGUGAGUACUACUGCAAAGUAGAAAACAAAAAAAUUAGUCGGUCUCGAAGCAAACGGAGUGAAGCA